rnacentral:rRNA from 1 species
CCUACGGGAGGCAGCAGUGAGGAAUAUUGGUCAAUGGGUGAGAGCCUGAACCAGCCAAGUAGCGUGCAGGAAGACGGCCCUAUGGGUUGUAAACUGCUUUUAUACGGGGAUAAAGUGAGGGACGUGUCCCUUAUUGUAGGUACCGUAUGAAUAAGGACCGGCUAAUUCCGUGCCAGCAGCCGCGGUAAU